GCUAGGAUGGCAUAGUGGUUUGAGUAUUGGACUAUAACUCUAGAGGCUAGGGUUCAAUUUCUGGCUCAGCC